GCGGUUUUACCUUUUUCCAGGGUGCUAUACAAGUUCCCUUAAAUAAUGUCAGCAAUCAAAAUCUUACCUCAGAUCGAUAACGUCAAACUUCGCAUUUGGAUUCAUCAAAACAUGAGAGCAGUGUUCAUAGAGUGGACUCCCAUCUUCAGGCUCCUCAUGGGGAUGAAAUCCUCGCUGCUGGCAGUUGCGAAUGACCGACACACCACCGG
rnacentral:misc_RNA from 1 species